GGUGAGAAUCUUGGAAUAAGAAUGUGUGAAUAAUUUAUUUGUUUACUAUGUUAUUCAUUACCUUACUGGUGUAAUUCUCUUUGAACAAAAAAAAAUGGAUAUUUGUGUUUUUUUAAGUUUUUGAUAUGUUCUCUUUUUUUUUUACUGAAUAUCAAACAUAUGAUAGUAUAUGUUCAUAUUUUGGUGCGCCCCUCCAGUUUAUUGCCUCGCACCUCUAGUUUAUUGCCUUCUUGUUUGCUAGUUUUUUUUGGAUUAAUAAGAUUUGUUCAUAAACAUAAAGAAAAUGCUAUUGAACAUACAAUUUGAGUUCGUGAACAAUCCAAUUUGUGUG
rnacentral:lncRNA from 1 species